rnacentral:rRNA from 1 species
CUCAGGGAGGUAGUGACAAGAAAUAACAACACUGGAAAUUUUAUUUCUAGUGAUUGGAAUGAUGGGAAUUUAAACCCCUUUCAGAAUAACAAUUGGAGGGCAAGUCUGGUGCCAGCAGCCGCGGUAAUUCCAGCUCCAAUAGCGUAUAUUAAAGUUGUUGCAGUUAAAAAGCUCGUAGUUGGAUGUCUGCUGGAAGCAAUCAGUCCGCCCUAUUUGUAGGGUGUGCACUUGAUGAAUUCUGGCAUCUAUGUCCUAAUGUGAUAGAUACGGCGGUGUAUAUGGGUUAAUCCUAUAUACCCGUUUUUGUAUAUUAUAUUGGGAUAAUACCGUUACUUUGAGAAAAUUAGAGUGUUUGAAGCAGGCUAAUUGCCUUGAAUACUGCAGCAUGGAAUAACAAUAUAGGAUUUCGGUUCUAUUUUGUUGGUUUCUAGGACUGAAAUAAUGAUUAAUAGGGACAGUUGGGGGCAUUCGUAUUUAACUGUCAGAGGUGAAAUUCUUAGAUUUGUUAAAGACGAACUACUGCGAAAGCAUUUGCCAAAGAUGUUUCCAUUAAUCAAGAACGAAAGUUAGGGGCUCGAAGACGAUCAGAUACCGUCGUAGUCUUAACCAUAAACUAUGCCGACUAGAGAUAGGAAAAUGUCAUUUUUCUGACUU